rnacentral:ncRNA from 6 species
CUGCCCUGGCCCGAGGGACCGACU